GAUGCAAACUGCGAAUACCGGAGAAUGUUAUCACGGGAGACACACGGCGGGUGCUAACGUCCGUCGUGAAGAGGGAAACAACCCAGACCGCCAGCUAAGGUCCCAAAGUCAUGGUUAAGUGGGAAACGAUGUGGGAAGGCCCAGACAGCCAGGAUGUUGGCUUAGAAGCAGCCAUCAUUUAAAGAAAGCGUAAUAGCUCACUGGUCGAGUCGGCCUGCGCGGAAGAUGUAACGGGGCUAAACCAUGCACCGAAGCUGCGGCAGCGACGCUUAUGCGUUGUUGGGUAGGGGAGCGUUCUGUAAGCCUGCGAAGGUGUGCUGUGAGGCAUGCUGGAGGUAUCAGAAGUGCGAAUGCUGACAUAAGUAACGAUAAAGCGGGUGAAAAGCCCGCUCGCCGGAAGACCAAGGGUUCCUGUCCAACGUUAAUCGGGGCAGGGUGAGUCGACCCCUAAGGCGAGGCCGAAAGGCGUAGUCGAUGGGAAACAGGUUAAUAUUCCUGUACUUGGUGUUACUGCGAAGGGG
rnacentral:rRNA from 1 species